rnacentral:tRNA from 1 species
GGUGGCUCAGUGGUAGAGCACUUGCCUUGCAUGCAUGAGGCCCUGAGACCGAUUCCUCAGCACCA